rfam:Geobacter sulfurreducens PCA, complete genome.
ACACGAUAAGACUAAACCGUCCGCGAGGGCGGGGCGGAAAGCCUAGGGUCUCCUAGAGACAGCCGGGAUGCCGAA